rnacentral:lncRNA from 1 species
UAGAACUUCAAAUACGAACUUCAAUAUUUACAACUAUUGUUGGCUAAACCAGUAUUUAGAAAUAUUGAAGUUCAAUAUUUAAAAGAUUGUAAUAUUUGAUGUCCAAAUGGCUAAGUUCAAUGGAAAGCAUAUUGACAAUUAUCUUACAAGUGUUCCUCACUAGACUAGUAAAUUUGUAUAUUAUGUUUGCUACUCCUUUUUUUCUAUAAUAAUGACAAUGAAGGGUGUAUUGAGACACUUUCAAACUCUUGGGACUCCUGAAGGGAAAUAAUUGUCUCCAUGAUAUCACCUUUACUAUGUCGAGCAUUGCUGGGAAAAGGGCUUAGCUGAAAUCAUUUGACUCCAAUCUUAAACCAGUCGUACAGCUCUCAUUUACCUCUUUGUUCAAUAAAACAUCAAGAGAACAAAUCCAAAGUUCUCUCUUUCACCUUCAAGUUUCUGAUAUCUCCCUCGCCAACCACCCUUUUUUCAUCUUUUUUUUUUUUUUUUACAAGUGUCUCCAAUCACACAUUCAUUUUCCCCUCUAUCUGACUUCUUUUUUUGUUUUGUUGAGAAAGAUCUCCCCCUCUAACUGAUUUAACUCUAUCACACAUAGUGUUGGCCUCCAUGGCUCGUCUUCUUUGUACAUUUGGGUACAAAAUCCCACGAUUUCCUCCUUGACAUCAUUUUCUCCCCCAUACAGCAUUUAACAUGUCCAUGACUUCUUGUUUCUUUUUGGAUAUCCACUUGACUAUUAUAUAUUAUGACAUAAAAUAUCCACUUUCUUUGAUUCUAAAUUAUGACAUAUUCUCCACAAUAUCCACUUGACGAUUAUAAUUAUAAAGAAUAUUUUACAAAUACCCUUGAUGAUUCUCAGACUUGUUGGGCAAAAUUAUAGCAACCCACGUGUGUGGACCAGACAAGCUACCUGGUGGAUAGGUCCGGGUAUUUUUUCAAGCCUAGAGGAUUAGUCAAGAUACGUGCAAGUUCAAUGGGAUGUUACAGAUAUAAAAAAAAAUCUUAAUGAUUCUCGACUUCCAAAGAACUAAUCUUACAUACCAUAAAACCCUGAAUAUUACUUUCUAAGCUUAACAAUACACGACCUUCACAGAAAAGCUCCAGUUUUCCCUAAUAUACAAUGUCAAUAGAUUUUUCCCUAUUAUAUUUUAGCCACACUCCCUCCAAGUAGACCGCAUCAAUGUCAAAAUAUAGACAAACAAACAAGUUACACCAUAAACCUAAAACAACAUAAUACAGCUACCACUAAUAGGAGGUCCUCCUCAGGUUCAAUCUCAGUUAACCAAUUAAUUAAAAGCAAAAGAAGAUUUCAAAAUGAAAUCUAGACAGCAAAAAGAGAAGACAUCUUAGUGGCCGGAAACUCUAAUCAUCCUAAGACUAAAAGUAUGUCUUUUCUACUUCUCUUCACCAAUCUGUUUCUACUUCUUCUCCUGUCAUUGCAGGGGUGGGGAAGAAGAGAUAUAGAGUAGGGGAAAGAUUUACUCACUUGUAGUUGUGGCCAAAACUGUGGAACACAGCACUAAGAGCUUCCAUAAAUGCUACUGAAAGAGUAGCAGCUGAUGCAACAUGAGAUGGUGAGGCUUCCUGCACAAAGAGAACCAUAAAUUAAAAGGAAAAUGUAAUCAAUAUUUCAGCGAUGGUUGUGCAGGAAUAUCCCAGAUAGUAUUAGAAUACGAAAUAUAAGAUCCAGCUUUAGGUUGUGGAACUAAUGUAACCACCAUAUCGAGAAGUUGUCAAUAAAAAAACUACAAAAUAGAGUAUUUCCUUUUCAACUAACAUCAAUAAUAUUAGCUAAAUAGAUGUUUCAUAAACAUUUCGAUCUACUGAUUCUAUCAGUUGAUUAAAUUCAAGGAGGCGAUUCCAUCCAAAGUUUCAUAGAACAGCAUGUUAAGUGCUUCUCUACAUAUUAGAGUUCAACAUACGUACAUUUCUUGCCAACUAAAAUCAUCAUGGAUCAUAAAUCAUAAGAGUGCAUUUUUUUAAAAUAUUUUUUUAUAUCCUCAUUUUCUCCCUCUUUUUUUUAUCAGGUAACAUUGCUCAUUUUCUCCCUCCUUUUCCAUUAUUUUCUCCUUUUCUACCCUUUGUGGGGUAGAGCUAUACAAGUAAGUUAUGAAAGGUCUUUCAAAAAUUAAGAUGACAUUUAACAAAUUACCUUGAAUCCAUCAGGAAGGACCUCAGCAACAACUAUCCAAAUCAUACACCCAGCAGCAAAGCCAGUAGCAAAUGGCAAAAAUUUGUGAAAUGCAUCAGCACACAUAUAUGAUGGUACUGCAACAAUUGGCUGCAUUACGAAAGAAUUCAAGGCUUAGGCAUCAAUAUAUCAUGACUACUGACAAAGGAUGGAAAAUAAUCAAAACAUAACUAAACAGGAAACUAAAAAUCAUAUAUCAUACCUCACUUGUUCGUGAAUAUGCAAUAAUUUAUAUUAGUACACACAUGAACAGUAUAAACUAUCGUUAUAAUGAUUUGCACAAGCAUCUCUUAUAGAAUACAAAGACUACAUCAGUGUUGUUGAAAGCAAGCGCUUCAUCGCUUACUUAGACAUCAAUAUAUCAUGAGUCCCAACAAGGGAUGGAAAAAUAAUUGAAUUAUAACUAAAACCGGAAACUAAAAAUCAUAUAUGUCAUACCUCACUUGUUUGUGAAUAUGCAAUGAAUUUAUACAAGUACACGCAUGAACAGUAUAAACUAUCGUUCCAAUGAUUGGCACAAGCACCUCUUAUAGAAGACAAACACGACAUCAGUGUUGUUGAAAGCGAACACUUCAGCGAGGCGAGGGUUUGUUGAUUUUAAAGUGAAAAGUGAAAUGAAAAGGUGGUCGCUUCUCAGAUGAAAGCGAGAAGUGUGUGUAGCAGGAAGCAAUGAGAGCAUAUGCUUUUUUUGUUUAAAAUUUAAAAAAGCUGGACUUUUUUAGAAGAAAAAGAAAUCGCAGAAUAAUAUUCUUUUGUUUCUCCAUUCUCACUGCUUGGUGUGACUUUCUUCUCCGAACUACAACUAGGAUUCACUUUUUGCUGCUCUUCUUCUUCUUCAAGCUCCAGGUAUGGCUCCUCCAUUGUUUUUCUUCUUUGUUGUCGCUGGCCCGCUGCUGGAGGGGCUGGCAAUUUUUUUCCCAUUCUUCCUUUCUUUCUUCCCGGGGUCACUGAACUCCACUAUUUUUUCCUCUGCUGAAGGGGCUGGCUUCUCUUAUUUUCUUUUUCAGCUUUUUCUCCCUUUUUCUCUUAUUUUCUUCUUCAUCAAUCAGCAGACUUAUGUUUUCUCUUAUUUGUUAUUUUUGAGUUUAUUAACUUAAUUGUAUUAGCCUUUUUUUUAACAUUCCCGUAGGCAGUUACUUGCUAGUUUCUGAUUUUUUGGUCGUUUUUUUUAAAUUGCAGUUCACUUCAAGGAUGUGAGCUCUGCGCUUAAAGCAUAAAGCGGGCCUUGUUGCUUUUUUCACUUUGCACUUCUAACAAAAACACUGGACUACAUAUCACAAAUGGAAAAAUCUGGUUUGACUUGUAUAAGAAUCAGGUAAUACUUGUAGGGAUCAGUGAGAGCAAAAUGUAUAUAUAUCCCAACUUUCACUUGUCUAACUAGAAAUUCCAAUUUGUAAAAGAUGGUAUAUAUUCAAUCACCUGGGGUAAGGAAGUUAAUAUACUCCAUAACAUGGCCUUCUGUGGAGAAACUCCUCUUGAUGCAAGAACCAUGCUCACAGCUAAACCCUCUGGUAUGUUGUGCACGGCAAUAGCCAGAGUUACCAAGAUGCCCUGAGAAAGACCUUUCGAGCCAGCAAAGGAUACUCCAACACCAGCACCCUCCCCAAAUGAGUGAAGUGUCAUAAUUCCAACAACAAGGAUGACUUUUGCUGCAUCUGCUCCCUUAAUGUCCAGCAUACUUACUUCACCAUAUUGUUCAAGAAACUGAAUAUGAACACAGAAACAACAUGAGGAAUUGCAAAGUGGGAAUGACGAAACUUGUCAAACUAUGCAAGAGUAACAAGAGUUAUGCACAAAAGAUUAACAGAAUUAGGUUUACUUCAAAUGCAAAAGAGACUAAGAAUCCUAAACUCAGCCAGCAGAUCAAGCUAAUACAACUAGCAUUCACUAGUAACACGACAAGGUUUUUAUAAUGUCCUUCAGUAAAUAGAAAUUAGAAACAAUUAACACAACACACUACAUUUGAUAUCCACUCAACAGAAUGACUAGAACUGAAAAGCAGUAGCUUCUCUACUUAACUCCAUAAGACCCAUUACCAGCACCUCCAAAUUCCCAAUAUGGAAGUCAACAUUAAGUUGUAAAUUUAGUUUGCAAAUUCCAUCCCACUCAAGAGAUAAGAUAUAUGAAUAGCGUACUUCAAUGAAGGAAUAAACAUUAUAUAUUCUGCUAAAUCUUAAUAAUUGCAGCUAAAGCAUAGUCAUUCAUUUCUUUUGUUUUUUGGUUUUAACUUCUUUUUUUAUAUAGGUAGUGGUCAAGCUAGCUCAUGCACACCUCUAGUAAUCCACGAACAGCCUGCAACAUCAUACAUACACGGGAAAUUUGUCCAUAUGGCUCAUACUAAGUAUAUUUUGUUGGAAUUCAAGCCAGAAAUCUCAACAGCUACUCCUAAACCUCAACCACUCAGUCAUCCCCUUUAGAAUGCAUAGUGAUUCUCUUCAUUGAUAGACUAAGACUAAAGAUUAAAAUUACGCAUAGUCCAUAAAAGCAAAGAAAUACGUAGAAAGCUCGAGAAUAAAAACUUAAAAGAAAGGAGAAGUAGUGGACAUCCUUAUCCAAGCAACAUAGUAUAUAUGUUUUUGAAGGGCAGUGAUUGGGAAUAAAAACUUAAAUGUAAGGAGAAGUAUUGCACAUUUAGAUUUUUUUAAUAGAGUUGCACAUUUACAAAUUUCCUAUAUCAACAGAUAUUGGUUUGAUCUGAAACCUCUAAAUUCCAAUAUUGCCAUGCUUACAAAGUAGAGUUCUUUCCUUUAGAGAUAGCAACUGCCAAGAAAACAUUAUACAUGAACUAAACCUACUACAUGGAAUCAUGGACAACAUUGGCCUGGAGAGUGGAACAGUAAAGCUUUAUCAGAUGUGUCUGGAAAGUCCCCAAUCAAAGGAACGUCGUGCAUGUGUUUCUUAGAAUAAAAAGGGACUAAAAUCAAAAUAAAGGUGGACAUUCAUGAAUUUCCUUCAAGAACAGAUACUGUUCCAAGACACUAACUUGCAAGAAAGUUGAAGCUAGGAUAUCCGGAAGAAGUUUGAAAGUAGGAUCCCGCAACUUCCUAUUGAUCAAACAAAUUUUUUUAGAGAAAUGUAAUUUCGUUUUGAUCACAAGUACUCUGAAGUUGAAAAUAGUGGGAAAGCUAAUAAACAUUGCAGCCCCAUAGAAUUUGAAAAAUAACAAGUCAAAGAUACUGAAGGACCAGCAGCACAUGCCAUGUAUUAAGCUUUUACUUACUCAUGAACCAUUUUCCAUUUUUAUCUAGAUUAAUUGUCACAAAAAUACAUGAUAUUAGAGAUGAUGAUAAAAUUAUUUAAUGUUAUUCAAUAGCAGAUAUGAUAUAAAACUAAUUGAAGGAUGAAAACUGGACAACAUGAAAGUGGGAAACUAGGGCGUUCACCUUCUUACAAAGCAAUAUGAAGAUACCACCGGCCAAAAUACCAGACACAACCCAUCCACCACUUCCAUGUUCCUGUCCUUCCUGAAUAAGGUCAAAGCUCGCUGCCAACAUCACUCCAGCAGCCAUUCCAUUGCAUACUCCCGACCAUUGAGGAUCCAGCUCCACAAAGAAAAAUGGUACUGCACCCAAACCACUAGCCGCAGCCAUUGCCAAAGUGAACAAUGCAACUGUUGAAACAGACACUCUGGUGUUAUCACCUGUCCAUUCACCUUUUCCAUCCAUACCGACAGAAUCAAUACCAUAUUCUUUACCAGAGCCAUCAAUUAUAUUGGUUCGGACAUUCUUUAGAGGAGCAGUUAUUACCCUUUGUACACCCACUUCUUCAGAUGCAGCCGUAACAUAAGAAAUCAAAGCUGAUACAAACAGAAAGAAUAAAAGAACUUGCACAAAUCUCAACCCCAUAUUCUUCAUGAUUAGAUCAGCAAAUCAUUGUAGCCCUGAAAUUACUCAAAACCAAUAUAAUCAUCAAGAGAGUCAUUGGAAAUUCAUCAUCUCAGAGGCUACAGAUGUCAGCAGACUUAACUCCCUUUGGAACAAAUAACUUUGUGGUGAACUUCUCCAAAUAUCAAAACCCAUGGCAUACUGAAUCAACGAUCAAUUUAAAAAAUUAUUGUUCCUGGUACUGCUGGUCAAAGGGUGUAACUGGUCCGUUCUGCACUAGAAUAAAUCAUAGUACAGUUAGAUCUCAACCAAUUCAACAGUACUGUAGACAAAUAGAACAAGCAUAAGAAGACCAACAGCAAACAAAACAAAGUAGCAACUUGUUGCACCUAAGUUUCCACAAUCCAUGCAUCGUCUUUAUUCAACCUAAUAGUUCAUGUUGGUAAUUUAGAUAUACUCACCAAAUAAUUUACAUACGAUAAGCUUGUUCAGAGAAUUCGCCAGUUAACAUUAAAAUGGAGAAUUGUCUGAGACGGAGGAGAAUGAAGAACAAGAGCCACACAACAAGGAAGAGGAAAGAAGAGUCUAACAACUCAAACGCGAAAUCAUAACCCCUGAAUACGCUGAAUUCAGAGAAACAGUCUUUCCUCAGUAGUCAAAAAUUGUACUGCAAGUGAACUUAGCCCAUGAUUAGAUGAUAUCCCAAACAGCAGUUACAGCACUAGUAAACCCCUUUUUAAAAAACUACAGCGCUAGUAAACCCUGAAUAUAAUCAAACUGAUUAAACUUAGCCUUCUCUUGGAGCUAACAAAAUUCAAACUUUCUUGACAAGAUACCUAAUUAUCAGGCUUUGUUCUUACUAUCUACCAAAAAAGCUUACUCUUUUCAUCCGUCUAUCAUUAGAGUCAGUACUAAUUACGAAAUAUUUCCAUCAAAAUUCAGUUGACAACCUGUUAUACUAAUACACUACAGGCUUCAAAACCCCAGACACAACAAGCUCAACAUUAAAAAUCAUAUGAAUAUAUAGUUUGAACUAAUAGGCAAAGCAACAAAGAUAUAGACCAAAACAACAAAAAGGCAUCAACAAGAUUUCAUAAACAAACCACCAUUCCUUCCUAACAAACCCCAACAUGCCAAAACCCACAGAAGAAAUUACAAAACCACAUAGAUUACCUCCAAAUCACAUAUCCAAUAAUGGGUAUUCAUUAGAAACCAAAAAAAGAACAAUCUUUACAGAAAACCAAUGACAAGAUAAAGAAACCAUUGACCUUCAAAAACCCCAUAUGAAAUAAAGCAAGUAAUGCCAAUAUUUUUACCUAUUUCGCCGUGUCUCAAGAAUCUGAAGGAUCACGACCAAACAGAGUUGAAUUGCAAUCAAGAAAUUGUAGAGAAUUUAGGGUUUGUGACAAGAAUUAUAGAAUUGACUUCAAAGGGGGAUAAAAAACCGAUCUUUUCUCUAUGGUGAGUAAUCUUGUUGGCUAAUAAAAUGGAGGAUCUCAUCAGUUGACUCACUAUGGAAUAUGGGUAUUCUCCGUUCUUUGUGUAUUUGAAAAAAAAUACAAUGUUCCAUCCAUGGUUUCAUUUCCCCUUUUCUAUUUUUUCUUCUUGAAAUAAAUUCUAACACUAUACCAACAUGGGUUGUGGUGCAAUGAUAAAAGUGAUUCACCCUUUAUUAGAGGUCUCGAGUUUGAGCCCUGGAUAUGAAAAAAAAAUUGUUGGGAGUGCCACCCGAAUGGACAGCGCCAUUCAAAUUUAAUCGGAGCUUCAAUGUGGGCUCCGAACACCGGAUGGGAAAUCAAAAAAAAAUUCUAACACUAUCAUUUAAGUAGAAAAUUAAAUCAGUGAUACAAUAGAUAAGCAUGUCAUUUAAUUUGAACUCGAUUAGUAUUUUUGUCCUUCAAUUUUAGAUGUAUAUAAGUAAGACCCUUAAUUUUGUAUAAAGUUGAAUAAGUAAACACACAUGUUCUAGAUGACAUAAUACAUAUAGGUGUCAGUAAGGCACAUGUUUCUAUUCGUUCAACAUUAUACAAUUUUAAGUAUUUGUUUAUACACAUCAUCUACGUAGACCCAACGGUUGGAAGGGAUGUUGACAAAUCUUCAAAGUUGAAGGAUAUAAAUACAGCUCGUGUUAAGUUUAAAAAAAAAAACAUAUUUGUUUUCAAAGUUUUACUUCAAUUUAAAUACAUAAUUUGUCAAUAUAUUUGACGAAAAGUAAAAUACUCUCUUUUAAUAAUUCAGAAAUACCCAAAAUUAUAUUACUUUAUAAAAUACUAUCUUUUAUUUCUUUCACUUAAAAAGAUAAAAAAAAAAAAAAUUGGGAGAGAGAUGUUAUCUUUCCUUCUAAGACACUCCAUAUAAUAACCUUCAAAUUGCAUUUGGCUCAAUUUUCUCUUACAAUUUGUUUCCUAGCUAAUAACAAUUCUUCAGUUUUAACCCCCUAAACACAACAAAUUUAUGAAAUAUUUACUAUCCCUAAUUACUUAUCCACUUUUAAAUUGACACACCUAUUAAGAAAACAAUAAUUGACAUACUAGUUUGAAGUAAUUUUUGAAUUUUUUAAAAAUUCCUAAAUAUAGGAACUUGACCCACAUACUAGUUUUUUUCGGUACCUUGAAACUUGAGAUACUUGAUGAAUAUAUUUGCCGAGUUGUAUGAUCAAACACUACUUCUUAAGUUUUUCCCAAGUAUUCUUGGAGCCAAAUGGGUCAUAAGAGUAAAGUAGGUAUAAAAUAAUACAUUUUCUUUUGAUUUUUCAAACGGACCAAGAAUAAGUGGACAUGUAUAGUAGAUUGAGGGAGUACAUCUUUGAACUUCGAAUAUUAUAUUUUUGUUAUUUUGGACUUAAAAAAUCUUCUUCUUUUUUUGGGACAUAGAGAGCAGUACAUAUAUGCCUUGUAAUAAAUGGUUUUAAUUUAUCAUUUGUGAUGACCAAGUCAGCAAAGAUUAAAAUAUUUUUUGAAACAUUCCAUUACGAUAUUGUUACCAAUGGCAUGAAGAAAAUGUGAAAACUGUUUGGCAAAGUCAAAAUUCCACCAAUUAUGCUAAUUAGUCCCAAACCCAAACAUCGAAAAAGUAUGAUGAACAAUUUAAAGAAAAAAACGUUCACCUUUGUUUUGGCAAAAAUGUUCCAAUCGAAAAAGUAAAGUAUUUUUCUUAGAGUUUUUUAAUUUUUAAACAUUAAAUUUAACUUUUUAAAUUAAUUAAAUUGACUAUCAAAAAAUAAAAUAUGAUAAUUAUUUUAAAUCAGAGGAAGUAUAUACAUAUACGAGAAGAUAGAAAGUGAUUAAUACACUAUAGGUCAAUUCGUUUUGGCUCAAUUAUUUCUAUUUAAUUGCUUAAUAUUCAAUCAAACUAGUGCUUAUCAAUUUUUCGUAGUUUGGUACAAAAUCAAAGGACAAAGUGGCAAUAAGUUAAUGGCUUGUACGAGUGGGUUUGAUCAUUGACAAUUAACUCUACUGAAUUAAUUAUAAUAGUGGGUUAGAUAAGAUAAAAGGGUUGAAUUAUUUUUAUCCAUCUUAUAUAUCAUCUUAUUGAAAUAGCCCUUUGAUGUAUAUAAAAAGAUAGUCAUUUUGAAUUCUUGUGCAAGUGGAUUUGAUCAUUGACCAUGAACACUCUACGUGACAUGAAACUGAAUUAAUUAGAAUGGUAGGUUAGGUAUAGGAAUUUGGACCAUCGAUGAUCUACGUAAUAGUUACCUAAUUAAUGUUCACUAGACUUUAAUUCAGUGGUAAGGACGUAACACGCAAUGUCCAUCUGAAUUUUGAACUCACUCUACCACAGACGUUAUUAACAACUGCUUCUGCAACUGCACAUGUAAACUUUUUAUAUGAUACUUCAAGAGGUUAUAUGCAACAUGAAGAUACCUAUGCAAAGUAAAAGCAGCUUUACCAGAUAGUCAUGAAUGAGACCAGCAAUGUUGGCCUCUAAGGUUUAACAUGUCCCCAUAAGAUGAGCAACACAAAAUACGAAUGUUAAGAUGGAUGUGCUACCAGAAAAAAAAAUCAAACAGGACAAGAAAUGACCACAAUCGAACACAAGGUGCAACUCAGAUGGUAUGAUCACGUCUUAAAACAGACCUCCACAUAUGAUCCACUAUGACGAUAAAAGGUGCAAAGAAAGGAUAAGAUAAACAUACAACGACAUGGAGAGGAAUCGCCACAAAAUAUCUCCAUAUGAGCUUAGUGAAGAACAUAACACAAUAAAAGUAAGGUAUUCUUAGGUUACUUGUUACUCAUGCGCUUAGAUUAGCUAUCAGUGCAGGGAUAAGUGUGAGAUUUAGAUAGUCUCUAAUUUUAGAGUAUACCUAAUUUGUCUUACAAAAAAUUAUUGAGCAUGCAUGAUGAAUAUAGCAGAUUCAUGCAGCAAGCCCCAACUAGCUUUGAAUCGAGGUAUAAUUGUUAUUGUUGUCGUAUUAAACCUACCAUGACAUAUGGCACAUGAAAAUUAGAUGGACCUAAGAUUCCCCGAGUCUGAGCUGAAGUCGAAAAAAUUGGCAGUACCAAGUACAAGAUGGAAAAAAGGAGGUGGAAACUGGAACACCAUACAGACAAUCCACUCUUUACUGCUUAGUUAACCAUGAAACAGCAGGCUCAUUCAUAUAUGUAUAUUACAUAUCAAUGGAUGAGCACAUACAACAACAGUAUGAAUGUCUCAACAACAUAUAGUUAGACUCUACAUCUAAAGCUUCAGAAGUUAACACAACCAUUCUUUGUUCUUUACUGCAGCAAUCCUAACAAUCAGGGAAGCUAGCAAGAGCACAUUAUGAACAGCUGCUUCAAGGCAAAAUAUAUGGUAAGUUCACCAUACUACAACUUACAGACAAAUUUUCAGAGCUAGCAUCUGCUCUAGCACAAAUUUUUUGAAAAACAUAGUUGGGGAUAGGAAUGGUUGCAUAUGAAAUUAAUGGAACUUGCAAGCAAGCUUAGCUUUCCUAAGGGCCCAUUUGUCCGUGGGUAGUUUUCAGCUUUUUGCCGGAAUGAAUUCCGGUAUUCGAAAAACUCCUAAUACCUGUUCUCACAUUUUUUCACUCCAAAUCACUAACAAAAAAUGAUCAUUUUUCCAAGUUGUAUUCAUGUCAUAACACAACUCCAAUUUCCAUUCCAUUUUUCAACUUUUUUCCAAAUACUACUUUUUUUUUCCUCCAAAUUUCACAUCUUUUUAUCCAAAGGCCCAUUAAAUCUUCUCCACUAUCCAAAGUGGAUAUUUCAAUCUUACGUAUAUGCUCCAACUAUAUAACGCAAACAAAAAAAGUACACAUUCAAGUCCUCACGAUGAUCUUACUUGAGAUCUUUAUCUCCAACAUAAACCUCUCUGUAUUUGGAACUGCAAAAACAGUAAAGAGAAACAACUAACUUUAUUUUAAAUGGUAAAAGUUAAGUGAACCAACUAACUUGCUGGUAGUUUUUUUCAGAUAUUGAACCGAGCAGUAUGCUCACAGAAUUUGGCAACUUUAUAGAGCCAAAAAUGCGAAAGGUAAGUUCUUUUUUUUAAUAACCGAGAAAUCCCCGAGUGCUAGUGGCACACAGUUCGAAACUCGCUGGAUAAUGGACCAUCCCCUUCUCCACUUAAAUAUCAGGCAUUUGUCUGUGGCAGGGUUCGACCCCGUUAUGUGCGCCUAGCCCACAUAUCACGUGCUACACCCUUACCACUAGACCAAAGCCUUGGGAAAAAUAGUAAAUUAGAUAUGCAAGUAACCACAAAUGGCAUAUUCCCUCAAGUCCAAAUUAUAUUUGACACAUUGGAGCAUGAUUUAACUUAUGCAUAUAGAAAAUAUGAUAGAAGCAGUCAUAUAUUGAUCAGAAAUAUGGUAUAAGCCGUCAAUAUUGCCAGAAGUUAAAGUACUGAUUCUUCUCUAGCUUAUGCAGUGUAUUUUUGAAAAACAUGCAAGAAAUUCUAUAUAACAAACAUGCCAUCAACAAAGAUAAAUGCCUUCGCACCUGAGGUUUACAUUCUGUUGCUCUCUGCACCGACAUAUCCCUAAUUGGAAGCACUUGUUUCAUUCCACAUCUCUAAGACAGGGAUCAUCUGUCUUUGAUUUGAUUUGCAGAAAACUAAUCUUCUUCUUUUUUAAUAUGGUAAUCCUUUUUCAAAUGUAAAGCAGCACCAGAAGAUGCUGAAUGUGUACCAGAAUUUACUCUCUAUACUCUAUUUUCAGAUUCCGAGUAAUAACCUAUAGUUUCUAAUAACAAUAAAAUGCGUAAUAUUUCAUACUAAUAUCUUGUUACAAAAAAAAAUUGACAAGCAUAUCAUGUGUAAUUCUAAUCUUUUUCUUAUUUUUUAUUUCCCUCUUCUAAUUAUAACAUAUCUUCUUUUACAAUUGCCUGAUAUGAAAAUGCAAGUGCAUACACUCCUCAAUAGAGGAAACAUGACUCAGCUAAGGCGAAUAGCUCAGAGUGUCAAAUUCAUUCAGCACACAGUGUAACACAACAAACCAUAGAUAGCAAAAAUACGUGGAAAUGCAGCAUUUUAAUCUGCUAUGGAAGCUCAUUAACAGUUGAUGUUUUCCUCUUUUUGCAUUAUUACUUUACUAGUUAGUCUUUUAAAAUAAAACCAUGGCUAGUAAAUCAAGCUACCCACAUGGGAGAAAACCAACAUUUACACCAACAAGUUUGGAACUCUCACCAAUUUCAAGUCUUCCUACUCUUCUUGCUUAACUCACCAUUUCCUAUAAAGACUAUGAGUGUAAGUUUCUCUAUUUUGAAGAAUACAUGCCCAACCAUAACCAAGCUAAAGAAUAAAUCUCGAGAUUCAACGACAAGUUGAAGAAAAGUUAACUCACAUUUAUUUCUGGUUGUUACAACAGUAUAGUAGCUACAGAUGAAAAGAGAUAAAGGACUCAACAGAAACAUCCAAGCAAGAGUAGACAGUUAAAACCUUCUAUGCAAAACAACUAAUGGUUGGCUUUAUAUCCUGCUCUUGCUUACAAAUUGUUAUUUAGACUACCACACAUUAUGAUGUAUCAUCAUCUUCAGCUCUUUGAAUUUUUAUGUAUUAAUUUAGACGUUAUCACCAUUGUCUGAGAUUCAAUAUCAGUAACAUCAAAUCAAUGGAAACACAAAGAGAUGAACUAAAGUAAGCAUUUUUUUAUUUCAAAAAUGAAAUCUACAAAAUAAUACACAAAACAAUACUUGUACACAUGAUUAUUUUCAUAUAUUCAGAAGUACACAGAGUUCAUUAAAAAGCAAUUAAAUUGUGAUCAAAACUGAAAUGGAUC